UACAGAGGAGCCAAGCGUUGUCCGGAUUGACUGGGCGUAAGGCGCACGCAGGCGGACGCGCGCGUGGGGUGUGAAAUCUGGCCGCUUAACGGCCAGGCGCCAUCCCAUACGGCGGGUCUGGAGUGAUGCAGAGGCGGUGGAAUUGCCGGUGUAGUGGUGAAAUGCGUAGAGAUCGGCAGGAACACCCAGGGGGAAACCAGCCGCCUGGGCAUCGACUGACGCUGAGGUGCGAGAGCGUGGGGAGCGAACCGG
rnacentral:rRNA from 1 species